rnacentral:misc_RNA from 1 species
AUAAGGAGCAACACUUCAGGCCAGAUGUAUCUCUUUAAAUGCGUUGAUCAAGCUCUCCACCAACUUGAGUGUAGUAGUAACUACUAGAAUCCAACCCUUCUAACAAAAUCAGAGAAAAAUCUAGUUGGCUCUGGAUAUAGAGUUAAAGGAAGUCCAUUAUCAGGAGAAGUUGUGACGCCGAUGUGCUUGCUGGGAGGGAGCAAUCUUGUUGACUUACUGAGUUAUCACUCAACAAUUAACACUAACUGAAAGUUGCAGGAAUAAUGAUGUAUCCUUUUAGCUAAUUGAACCCAUCUUUUCAACAUGAAAAGAUAAUAUUUACAAAUGAUGAACAUAGCGUGGAUUGAGAAGGUUUAGUCAUUCUCAUCUUUCUAGGAAAAAAAGGAGAAAUCAAAGAUUUUUCAUGUAUUGGAUUUCUUAUCUUUUAUUCUUCCAAAUUUGGAUGCUGCUUGUAUUUGUUAGUUGGAUUGG